rnacentral:lncRNA from 1 species
GUCCUGGUCAAAACUUCAUUACGCUUUGUUUCUGGGAUCUGAUCCAGCUUAGUUCCUAUUACCAGCAGUGGAAUCUGGUUAUCAGCAAACUGUUCACGGUCGUAGUCACCGUUUGUCACAAGAACUCCUGUGGGAGCGACAUCUCUGUUGAGUGCUUCCAAAGACCAGCGAUAUAAAUUCUGGGAUGAUUUCUUGUUGGUUAAGUCAUGCACUAAAAUUAUCCCAUUCAGCGAGUUAUAAAAUACUGCUCUUGUGCUUUUCACACUAGUGGCACUACCCACUGAACCUCCA